GAAAUGCGAUAAGUAAUGUGAAUUGCAGAAUUCAGUGAAUCAUCGAAUCUUUGAACGCACCUUGCGCUCCCUGGUAUUCCGGGGAGCACGCCUGUUCGAGUGUCGCGAAAUUUCUCAAGCUUUGGAUGUCUGUCCUUAGCCCUUGGUUGUUGGGCUUUGCCGUGUGUCCCUUCAUUGGGGGGACGGCUGGCCUUAAAAGCAUUAGCUGAUCCUUCUGUGGCACUGGUUCUACUCAGCGUGAUAAUAGUCUGAUCGCUGAGGACAUCUUUCGGGAUGGCCCGUUCUCAUUUGGGUUGCUUCUAAACUUGGUGUAUUCCACUUUUCAGCUUUGACCUCGAAUCAGGUGGGACUACCCGCUGAACUUAA
rnacentral:misc_RNA from 1 species